GAUGAACGCUGGCGGCGUGCCUAAUACAUGCAAGUCGAGCGAACAGACGAGGAGCUUGCUCCUCUGACGUUAGCGGCGGACGGGUGAGUAACACGUGGAUAACCUACCUAUAAGACUGGGAUAACUUCGGGAAACCGGAGCUAAUACCGGAUAAUAUAUUGAACCGCAUGGUUCAAUAGCGAAAGACGGUUUUGCUGUCACUUAUAGAUGGAUCCGCGCCGCAUUAGCUAGUUGGUAAGGUAACGGCUUACCAAGGCAACGAUGCGUAGCCGACCUGAGAGGAUGAUCGGCCACACUGGAACUGAGACACGGUCCAGACUCCUACGGGAGGCAGCAGUAGGGAAUCUUCCGCAAUGGGCGAAAGCCUGACGGAGCAACGCCGCGUGAGUGAUGAAGGUCUUCGGAUCGUAAAACUCUGUUAUUAGGGAAGAACAAAUGUGUAAGUAACUAUGCACGUCUUGACGGUACCUAAUCAGAAAGCCACGGCUAACUACGUG
rnacentral:rRNA from 1 species